GAUGAACGCUGGCGGCGUGCCUAACACAUGCAAGUCGAACGAGGCAAUAUAGUAAGAUUCCUUCGGGAUUAAAUUAUAUUGGCUAGUGGCGAACGGGUGAGUAACACGUGAGUAAUCUGCCUUUUACUGGGGAAUAACCUAGAGAAAUCUAGGCUAACACCGCAUAUGCUGACAGAAUCGCAUGAUUCAGUCAGGAAAUAUUUAUAGGUAAAAGAUGAGCUCGCGUCUGAUUAGCUAGUUGGUAGGGUAAAGGCCUACCAAGGCAACUAUCAGUAACCGGCCUGAGAGGGUGAACGGUCACACUGGGACUGAGACACGGCCCAGACUCCUACGGGAGGCAGCAGUGGGGAAUAUUGCACAAUGGACGCAAGUCUGAUGCAGCGACGUCGCGUGAAGGAAGAAGUAUCUAGGUACGUAAACUUCAAGCAGCAGGGACGAAUACAUGACGGUACCUGACUAAAAGCACCGGCUAACUAUGUGCCA
rnacentral:rRNA from 1 species